CAUAUUUUCCAAGUUAGAAAACUGAAAACUAAAAAUUGUGAAAACAUCUACCCGACCGAGAAUUAUUUUACCAGUUUAAUAUUUAAAGAAACAAGUUGUACCAAGUAUAUUGACAAGAUUUUCUAAAAAAAUAGCAAGAGUAAAUCCUGAGAUUGGAAUAGAGCUUCCAAGAUUUGUUAAUUCAAUGGGAUAUAACUCUGUAAAAUAUGCAGAUUUUAAUGCAGUUGAUAUUCAAAUCAUUAUUCUUUGACUUCCUUUUAGUUUUCCAUCUUUAUAUAUUAAUUUUACAAACUUAGGUGUUGAUGUUAUACUAUUGUGAACAUGUAGUAAGAAAUCAAAACAAUAUUUAGUAAAUGUUUAUGUUGACAGAAAUGGAUUUAUAAAAUAUAUAAUAAUGUAUCCAUUUUAAUUCCUUUUUAGGUAACCUUUCUGUGACAUGAUUUUCAUGGUGUUGGAUUAUAAAACUUUGGGGUCUAAUACAUCUAAAAGGAAGGUUAACAUCACAGCUUGUCCGUAAGGAUUGAGGUUGGGAAUGGCCAUUGGAGCUGACUUUUUUGGUUACUUUAACUGUGGCUGCAUGAAAAUGAUUGGGUGACUGUACCAGUAAAGAAUGUAAUUUAGACAAUUUUUGUGUAUGUUUGAGAAAAUGUUUAUAAUUUUUUACAAAAAAACAAAUAGUGUAAAGAUUCUCCAUUUUCAACAAGAUUGUAAGUUAUAGAUAACUUAUUUUGAAUUUUAAAAUCCUCUUUUUUUUACCAUUAAAACCAAAGGAUAUAUUCAGGUAGCUCUACUCAUGUCCAUUCUUGACAAUUUUUUUGUCAUGCAUAUUGAUACUGAAUUGGUUUUUGGUAUGUAUAGUUUUGUUUUGAGUUCAUAGUUCAGAUUCAAUCAUGUAUUCAUUAUUUUUUUUCCCCUGUGGCUAGAUUUAAUUGGUACUUUGAAAAUGAAUUGAAAUGGACCAAUUUUAUUUGAAGACCUACUCUUUUAGAUAUAUUAAUAAUGGUCCGUGUCUAGUCAAAACACUUCCAGAAGUUAAGGAUGGAGAAUCUUAAAAAAAAAAGAAAAAAUGAAAUGUAUAUUUUGGCUUUCACCGUUGUUAAAUAUAUAUCUUUUCCGACUUUUUUCCUUUUUUUAUGCCCCUGCCAUAGGGAAAGGACGUCCUUCUGUCCUUUUGUUGUUCCUUUUGUCCCAUUUUUGUUUCUGCACUAAAUUUUAAGAGGUAUGCCCCUUUAUCAGUUGGAAAGUUGCAAAUUUGGGCAGUGAGUCACUUACUUUUCUAGAGUUAUGCUCCUUUUUCAAUUUUUAAAAUUGCAAAGCUUGAGCAAGGGCAUUGUGUCCUCAGACACAUUCUUUUAUUUUUUAGCUGAGUUUAAUAUAAUUUAUAUUUUUAUCAAUUGUUUUGUUCUUAAUAAUUAUACAUUUUUUUAUACUGUCUAAAGUAUACUUCCUGAGACGGUCUUUAGAGCAUUAGGUUUUGGACUCAGGUUUCCAACAUUUUCCCACUACAAAUUCAGUUUUUAAAGAAGUUUGACCAAGUUCACUCGUUUUAGUUGGUUGUCAUGGUUGUUCCUGGCAGGGAGAUUGUUGAUGAUAGAGAUUUUGUCAUUAUUUAGUAUUUAACUUGAAAUACAGCAUAGAAGCAUUUCAUCAAUUAUAAUUUUUAUGAUUAUCUUUUAUGUAUAUAUGCUUACAAUUUGUAUACAUGGAUAUUGUUUUAAAAAUCAUUAAAAUCUGGUGUCCAGAUGAGCUGUCUGGGUUAUCAGGAACAUGAA